ACACCUCAACUCUCACAGUUUGCUGUGAUGAGCUUGGACUUUGGGGGUUUUGCUGGUCUUUGGCCGGCUCCUCUCAAACAAAUCAGCUUGCCAGUGUUUGGUUGCGGUCGCAGGUGUGAUAACUAUCUACGCUUGUGGUCGUUCGCCGGAUAACCUUCUUGACAAUGGAGGUUUGCUGGAGCUCAUAGACGUCUCUCCUAAGCGAAGACAGCUUUUUGAAU
rnacentral:misc_RNA from 2 species